AUUCAGCUGACGAAUCCCGAAUAGGACGAAACGCGCGUCCUGGAU
rnacentral:hammerhead_ribozyme from 1 species